CUGUGAAUGUAAGAGAGUUUGAUAGUACGUGUAAGAGAGUUUGUAAGUUUUGGCCCAUGGGGCUGUAACUGGAUAUUCUCUGUACGAAGACGUGAAUCAUCGCUACGCUAAUAUGUCCACACAAAACCAUAACCGUGUUUGUCAAUAGAUUUUAUAAUUACAACGUUUGAAGGGUGGAGAUGGGACAGCACAUGAAAACGACACAGCCGAAACACCACCAUGUUUCCUCGUGAACUGCACAUUCCCCACCGGACCCUUUCGCAGAGUUUCGAGUCUCGUCCCAGUCUUCCCACUCACCCUCUCUCCUGCUGUUCCUCAGGCAGC